CAUGAAAUGUAUUAUGUAAGCAUCCACAAUUAGAGUUGUGUGCUGUCUUCUGUAAUUGCAGUAGAUGCCAAAUGGUUCUUUACAAAAAUGGCUUUGUCCUUUCUUAACUAGACAUGUCUUUUCUUUUUAUCAUGUGUGAACAGGGCUUGUUCAGAUUAUCCUAUAUCUGCUGAAACAUCAGUAAUCAGCAACUGCAAGGACUCACAAAACCAA